rnacentral:rRNA from 1 species
CUAACAUGCAAGUCGAGCGGUAGAGAGAAGCUUGCUUCUCUUGAGAGCGGCGGACGGGUGAGUAAAGCCUAGGAAUCUGCCUGGUAGUGGGGGAUAACGUUCGGAAACGGACGCUAAUACCGCAUACGUCCUACGGGAGAAAGCAGGGGACCUUCGGGCCUUGCGCUAUCAGAUGAGCCUAGGUCGGAUUAGCUAGUUGGUGAGGUAAUGGCUCACCAAGGCGACGAUCCGUAACUGGUCUGAGAGGAUGAUCAGUCACACUGGAACUGAGACACGGUCCAGACUCCUACGGGAGGCAGCAGUGGGGAAUAUUGGACAAUGGGCGAAAGCCUGAUCCAGCCAUGCCGCGUGUGUGAAGAAGGUCUUCGGAUUGUAAAGCACUUUAAGUUGGGAGGAAGGGCAUUAACCUAAUACGUUAGUGUUUUGACGUUACCGACAGAAUAAGCACCGGCUAACUCUGUGCCAGCAGCCGCGGUAAUACAGAGGGGGCAAGCGACAAUCGGAAUUAUUGGGCGUAAAGCGCGCGUAGGUGGUUUGUUAAGUUAGUUCUCUUAUCCCCUUCCUCAACCUGGGAACUGCAUUCAAAACUGACUGACUAGAGUAUGGUAGAGGGUGGUGGAAUUUCCUGUGUAGCGGUGAAAUGCGUAGAUAUAGGAAGGAACACCUGUGGCGAAGGCGACCACCUGGACUAAUACUGACACUGAGGUGCGAAAAGCGUGGGGAGCAAAACAGGAUUUAGAUACCCUGGUAGUCCACGCCGUAAACGAUGUUCACUAGCCGGGGGGGCAUUCCACGUUCUCCGCGCCGUAGCUAACGCAUUAAGUGCCCCGCCUGGGGAGUACGGUCGCAAGGCUAAAACUCAAAGGAAUUGACGGGGGCCCGCACAAGCCCCCCCCCCCUUUUUUUUUUAAUUCGAUGCAACGCGAAGAACCUUACCAAGGCUUGACAUACACCGGGCCGUCCUGGAAACAGGUCCUCUUCUUUGAAGCUGGUGUACAGGUGGUGCAUGGUUGUCGUCAGCUCGUGUCGUGAGAUGUUGGGUUAAGUCCCGCAACGAGCGCAACCCUCGUUCUAUGUUGCCAGCACGUGAUGGUGGGAACUCAUAGGAGACUGCCGGGGUCAACUCGGAGGAAGGUGGGGAUGACGUCAAAUCAUCAUGCCCUUUAUGUCUUGGGCUUCACGCAUGCUACAAUGGCUGGUACAGAGAGAGGCGAACCCGUGAGGGCAAGCGAAUCCCUUAAAGCCAGUCUCAGUUCGGAUCGUAGUCUGCAAUUCGAAUACGUGGAGUCGGAGUCGCUAGUAAUCGCAGAUCAGCAACGCUGCGGUGAAUACGUUCCCGGGCCUUGUACACACCGCCCGUCAAGUCACGAAAGUCGGUAACACCCGAAGCCGGUGGCCUAACCGUAAGGAGGGGGCCGUCUAAGGUGGGACUGGUGAUUGGGACUAAGUCGAAU